AUCAAAAAAAUCAAGUGAUUGUGACUUGUGAGGGAAGAAGAAUUUAACUCAACUAAUCCAAGUGAAAAUGCACUGAAGAUCAUCAUGGAAAGUCAGAAUAAUCCAUGGAAAGUGGUCGAAGACAAAAGGAUAUUGCCGGCAAUAUCGGUGAAUUCGGUGGUAUUAUGCUUUCUAUUGAUUAUUAUUCCAGCACUAAGGAUGUCAUCAUUUGGUGAUAAAAUGAUGACAGAUCAUAUUGAUAGUGUUAAGGUCAUUUCCAUAGCUAUUGUUGUAUUUUUCCAACUAAUGAUAUUUUUUAUUUUAGAAAGGCAUCCGGUUAACAAGAACGUCAUUCCCAUCUUAUACAUAUUGGUGCUAUUAACUGCAACAACAGUUAUACAAAUGGGCAUCGCUGCAAUCAUUUUAGGUUUCUACACUUUGAUUGUAUGGGUGGUCUUAAUUGCAUUGAAUAUUUAUCGACAUUGGGAAGAGGUAUGUAAGGUAGAUAGAGUAGUUUUGAG